GAUGAACGCUAGCGGCAGGCUUAAUACAUGCAAGUCGUGGGGCAGCAUGAGUAGCAAUACUUGAUGGCGACCGGCAAACGGGUGAGGAACACGUACACAACCUUCCUUCAAGCGGGGAAUAGCCCAGAGAAAUUUGGAUUAAUACCCCAUAAUAUAUUUGAUAAGGCAUCUUAUUAAUAUUAAAGCUUCGGCACUUGAUGAUGGGUGUGCGGCUGAUUAGAUAGUUGGCGGGGUAACGGCCCACCAAGUCUACGAUCAGUAGCUGAUGUGAGAGCAUGAUCAGCCACACGGGCACUGAGACACGGGCCCGACUCCUACGGGAGGCAGCAGUAAGGAAUAUUGGACAAUGGACGAAAGUCUGAUCCAGCCAUGCCGCGUGAAGGAUUAAGGUCCUCUGGAUUGUAAACUUCUUUUAUAUAGGGACGAAAAAAGGGCAUUCUUGUUCACUUGACGGUACCAUAUGAAUAAGCACCGGCUAAACUCCGUGCCAG
rnacentral:rRNA from 1 species